rnacentral:lncRNA from 1 species
CACCAAGUCAGAUCAACCAGACCAGGAUGUCGAGGUUUGGCUAUAUUAUUUCCCUUUUGCUGCUGGUCAGCUUGACCAGUGUACUGUGUAGACAGCCAAUCUCCGGUAAUCCCUGCAUCUUUCAAAGAACCAUUCUUAAAAUAUGCAAAAGUGAAGAUCUCCAGAGAUGGAAAGUCCUGUGCAUUACAAAUUCCAAACCCAGAACCCAGAUGGGGGAAAAAAUGUGUCUUUGCUAUCAACGAGUGAGACGAAUCUGCCGCAAUAUAAGCACUCCUCUCUAGUCUUCUGAUUCUACUCUGAGGGAGCUCUCUACUAAAAUACAUAUUUUUUUUUGUGUGUAUGGAACAUAAUUCCAUUUUUUAAAGACAAUGAAUGUUGUGUUUUUUUUUCUUCUCAGAUGUGAUGUAAUUCUCAGAUGGAUGUCUCCAGCAGAGAAUCACACCCACAUUUCACUCGUAGCUCAUAGCUUUGUCAUUAAUAGGAUCUCUUUCACUUAAUCACACCUGUUCUGUUUUAUCAUUAAUGUGACUAUUCAACAUCAAUUCAAAUUAAGGUAAACUGGGAUUUUGAAAAUGGAACACUGAUCCUUUGCGUAGUUUUAUGACAGUGUGUGAACAUUCCUUAAAAUCACAUAAUCAGCUCUGAUCUCAGGGAGGGUGAAAGAUGUUCAUAUUUUUAUGAAAGAUGAACCAGAGGCGGUUUGUUUAUCAUGGGUUUAUAUCAGAGGCAUUUUAGUUUCCCAGUCUUUUCAAGUUUCAAGUUUUAUUCCCAAACACAAGUGCUCAUCGUAUAUUUUUCAACUUUUUUGGAGUAUCAGUUUGUUGUGUCAGGCACAAUCCAUAUUUGAGCACAAAUUCGAAUAGAAAUAGAUCACUGUUUGACCAAAAAAUAAUGCCAGUGUACUUAUAAAAUUCCAUCGGUCGGUCACACCUCCGGCCUUGUGGCACCGAUGCCACUCGCCAACCUUCUAAUCAUCGCUGCCUGCACCUUGUCAGCCUUCUCAACACAGACUCAUAUCAGCACAUAUUAGUGUUGAUCCUCGCACUGAACUUGACAGUUGUCCUGCUCUGUAUCUGUAACUUAUCAUGUAAGUUCCACAC